rnacentral:lncRNA from 10 species
GCUACAGUGAAGGAAAAGAAAACUCUGAAAGACGUAGUGUAGUUGCUGUAGUUUGAAUGUAUUCCUCAAAGUUUAUCCCCAAUGCAACAGUGUUGGCAGGUGGGGUCUAGUAAGGUGAUGAUUAGUUAUGAGAGCUCUGCCUUCAUGAAUGGAUUGAUGAUGUCAUUAUCACAAGGGUGGGUUGGUUACCAUGUGAGUGGGCUUGUUAUAAAAGCAAGUUCAGCCUCCUCUUGCUCUUGCUCUCUUGCCCUUCUGCCUUUUGCCAUGAGAUGACACCAGAUGCAGACCCCUCAACCUUGUACUCCUCAGUCUCCAGAACUGCGGUGGGAGAAGCAUGAAAUGCAUUUGCAGUGGCCUUGGGCCAUUGGUGGUGUCCGCAGGUGAGACAUCUCGAGUGCCUCAUGGACAAACUUCCUCAUGGAAUCCACUGGAGCAAUUAUGAGAGUCCACGGCCUCUCUUCUCUGGUUCUACCCUCUCCCAAUCUCUCACCUGUGCCGAUCACCUCAGUAAUUUGGGAACGGGCUAAGGAGGUCUCUCUUGGCACUGAGCUGUGACACCUUGGGGGAGAAAAAGUGCAGGACCAGAAAAUCUUUCUCUUCCAGUCAGUGUCAUUCAUUUAUGACCAGCGGUUGAAUCCAGUCAUAAAAUCUGAAGCUCCUGGGUACCUCUACAUCACUGGGCCUAUGAUACACUGUUUCAGAACGUACUUACACAUGGGGUGGGACGAUUUUCUUAACUAAUACUUGUGACUACUCCACAGCAAAGCUGGAAACAAAAGUAUUGGGUGAGCUAUCUUCCAAAAUCUGGAGAUGGUUUCGGAGAGAGUUUCAUUGCCAUAAAUUUAAAGGGGGAUUGGAUUUACUCAGGAAAAAUUACAAGUGAGCGUAGGAGAUAAACUAGUAAAUGCCAUAUUUGGCCCACCAGGCACAAAGAAGGGUUAUAAUUGGCUCCUUUAAGUCCUAUAUGCAGAUAUCAAAUCCCUAUACUUGCUCUUUAUUGCAUAGAAUAAAUUUACCUCACUCCUUACUUUGAAACAUGAAAUGAGGAUCAAAUUAUAGUUUCAAUUAUUGCAAAUAGUUGUACAAAUGAAAAGAUUGUCUUAUUGUGGGCAUUACACAAACCCACCAAGGAAUAAGUAAUCUUUAAAUUCUAUGAAGUGAUUUGUAAUCUGAUACAGUAAGAAAAAAAAAUC